UACAGAGGUCUCAAGCGUUGUUCGGAUUCAUUGGACGUAAAGGGUGCGUAGGUGGCGCGGUAAGUCGGGUGUGAAAUCUCGGAGCUUAACUCCGAAAUUGCAUUCGAUACUGCCGUGCUCGAGGACUGGAGAGGAGACUGGAAUUCAUGGUGUAGCAGUGAAAUGCGUAGAGAUCAUGAGGAAGACCAGUGGCGAAGGCGGGUCUCUGGACAGUUCCUGACGCUGAGGCACGAAGGUCAGGGGAGCAAACGGG
rnacentral:rRNA from 1 species